CGCUCGUAGCUCAAUGGAUAGAGCAGCCCUCUAACGAAGGGAAGGUUGUGGGUUCGAGUCCCACCGGGUGCU
rnacentral:tRNA from 1 species